rnacentral:rRNA from 1 species
UAAGGAAUAUUGGUCAAUGGACGCAAGUCUGAACCAGCCAUGCCGCGUGAAGGAUGAAGGUCCUCUGGAUUGUAAACUUCUUUUAUCUGGGACGAAAACGGGAUUUUUAUCUCAAUUGACGGUACCAGAGGAAUAAGCACCGGCUAACUCCGUGCCAGCAGCCGCGGUAAUACGGCGGGUGCGAGCGUUAUCCGGAUUUACUGGGUUGAAAGGGUGCGUAGGUGGGCUUAUAAGUCAGUGGUGAAAUCUCCGAGCUUAACUUGGAAACUGCCGUUGAUACUAUAGGUCUUGAAUUAUCUGGUGGUAAGCGGAAUAUGUCAUGUAGCGGUGAAAUGCUUAGAUAUGACAUAGAACACCAAUUGCGAAGGCAGCUUACUACAUAUAAAUUGACGCUGAGGCACGAAAGCGUGGGGAUCAAACA